rnacentral:rRNA from 1 species
UACGAAGGGGGCUAGCGUUGCUCGGAAUUACUGGGCGUAAAGGGCGCGUAGGCGGUGUGUCAAGUCAGGCGUGAAAGCCCCGGGCUCAACCUGGGAACAGCGCUUGAGACUGGCACGCUCGAGUUCGGGAGAGGAUGGUGGAAUUCCCAGUGUAGAGGUGAAAUUCGUAGAUAUUGGGAAGAACACCGAUGGCGAAGGGCAGCCAUCUGGACCGACACUGACGCUGAGGCGCGAAAGCGUGGGGAGCAAACAGG